GAUCAUGGCUCAGAUUGAACGCUGGCGGCAGGCCUAACACAUGCAAGUCGAGCGGUAGCACAGAGAGCUUGCUCUCGGGUGACGAGCGGCGGACGGGUGAGUAAUGUCUGGGAAACUGCCUGAUGGAGGGGGAUAACUACUGGAAACGGUAGCUAAUACCGCAUAACGUCGCAAGACCAAAGAGGGGGGACCUUCGGGCCUCUUGCCAUCAGAUGUGCCCAGAUGGGAUUAG
rnacentral:rRNA from 1 species